rnacentral:rRNA from 1 species
UUCGCCCUUAGAGUUUGAUCCUGGCUCAGGACGAACGCUGGCGGCGCGCCUAACACAUGCAAGUCGAACGAGCGAGAGAGCUUGCUUUCUCGAGCGAGUGGCGAACGGGUGAGUAACGCGUGAGGAACCUGCCUCAAAGAGGGGGACAACAGUUGGAAACGACUGCUAAUACCGCAUAAGCCCACGGGUCGGCAUCGACCAGAGGGAAAAGGAGCAAUCCGCUUUGAGAUGGCCUCGCGUCCGAUUAGCUAGUUGGUGAGGUAACGGCCCACCAAGGCAACGAUCGGUAGCCGGACUGAGAGGUUGAACGGCCACAUUGGGACUGAGACACGGCCCAGACUCCUACGGGAGGCAGCAGUGGGGAAUAUUGCACAAUGGGGGAAACCCUGAUGCAGCGACGCCGCGUGGAGGAAGAAGGUCUUCGGAUUGUAAACUCCUGUUGUUGAGGAAGAUAAUGACGGUACUCAACAAGGAAGUGACGGCUAACUACGUGCCAGCAGCCGCGGUAAAACGUAGGUCACAAGCGUUGUCCGGAAUUACUGGGUGUAAAGGGAGCGCAGGCGGGAAGACAAGUUGGAAGUGAAAUCCAUGGGCUCAACCCAUGAACUGCUUUCAAAACUGUUUUUCUUGAGUAGUGCAGAGGUAGGCGGAAUUCCCGGCGUAGCGGUGGAAUGCGUAGAUAUCGGGAGGAACACCAGUGGCGAAGGCGGCCUACUGGGCACCAACUGACGCUGAGGCUCGAAAGUGUGGGUAGCAAACAGGAUUAGAUACCCUGGUAGUCCACACCGUAAACGAUGAUUACUAGGUGUUGGAGGAUUGACCCCUUCAGUGCCGCAGUUAACACAAUAAGUAAUCCACCUGGGGAGUACGACCGCAAGGUUGAAACUCAAAGGAAUUGACGGGGGCCCGCACAAGCAGUGGAGUAUGUGGUUUAAUUCGACGCAACGCGAAGAACCUUACCAAGUCUUGACAUCCUGCGACGGUGCUGGAAACAGUGCUUUCCUUCGGGACGCAGAGACAGGUGGUGCAUGGUUGUCGUCAGCUCGUGUCGUGAGAUGUUGGGUUAAGUCCCGCAACGAGCGCAACCCUUAUGGUCAGUUACUACGCAAGAGGACUCUGGCCAGACUGCCGUUGACAAAACGGAGGAAGGUGGGGAUGACGUCAAAUCAUCAUGCCCUUUAUGACUUGGGCUACACACGUACUACAAUGGCGUUAAACAAAGAGAAGCAAGACCGCGAGGUGGAGCAAAACUCAGAAACAACGUCCCAGUUCGGACUGCAGGCUGCAACUCGCCUGCACGAAGUCGGAAUUGCUAGUAAUCGUGGAUCAGCAUGCCACGGUGAAUACGUUCCCGGGCCUUGCACACACCGCCCGUCA